UACGGAGGGUGCGAACGUUAAUCGGAAUCACUGGGCGUAAAGCGCGCGUAGGCGGUCUGUUAAGUGGGAUGUGAAAUCCCCGGGCUUAACCUGGGAAUUGCAUUUCAAACUGGCCGACUAGAGUACGGUAGAGGGAGGUAGAAUUUCCUGUGUAGCGGUGAAAUGCGUAGAUAUAGGAAGGAAUACCAGUGGCGAAGGCGGCCUCCUGGAUCGAUACUGACGCUGAGGUGCGAAAGCGUGGGGAGCAAACAGG
rnacentral:rRNA from 1 species